rnacentral:rRNA from 1 species
UACGGAGGGUGCGAGCGUUGUCCGGAAUCACUGGGCGUAAAGGGCGCGUAGGUGGCCUGUGGAAGUCUGCGGUGAAAGCCCGGCGCUCAACGCCGGGUCGGCCGUGGAUACUCUCGGGCUUGAGCUUACUAGAGGCAGAUGGAAUUCCUGGUGUAGCGGUGAAAUGCGCAGAUAUCAGGAAGAACACCCGUGGCGAAAGCGGCUCUCUGGAACGGUACUGACGCUGAGACGCGAAAGCGUGGGGAGCGAACAGG